rnacentral:rRNA from 1 species
GAGUUUGAUCAUGGCUCAGAUUGAACGCUGGCGGCAUGCCUUACACAUGCAAGUCGAACGGCAGCACGGGAGCUUGCUCCUUGAUUCAGCGGCGGACGGGUGAGUAAUGCCUAGGAAUCUGCCUGGUAGUGGGGGACAACGUUUCGAAAGGAACGCUAAUACCGCAUACGUCCUACGGGAGAAAGCGGGGGACCUUCGGGCCUCGCGCUCUUGGAGCGGCCGAUGUCGGAUUAGCUAGUUGGUGAGGUAAAGGCGUCACCAAGGCGACGAUCCGUAGCAGGUCUGAGAGGAUGAUCUGCCACACUGGAACUGAGACACGGUCCAGACUCCUACGGGAGGCAGCAGUGGGGAAUUUUGGACAAUGGGGGCAACCCUGAUCCAGCCAUGCCGCGUGAGUGAAGAAGGCCUUCGGUUG